rfam:Paenibacillus pini JCM 16418 DNA, contig: contig00050.
GGGUGAUGGCGUGCCUUUUGUAGAAUGAACCGGCGAGUUACGUUCCCAUGCAAGGUUAAGCUGAGAAGGCGGAGCCGCAGCGAAAGCGAGUCUGAAUAGGGCGAAUAAGUAUGUGGACGUAGACCCGAAACCGUGUGAUCUACCCCUGUCCAGGGUGAAGGUGCGGUAACACGCACUGGAGGCCCGAACCCACGCAUGUUGAAAAAUGCGGGGAUGAGGUGGGGGUAGCGGAGAAAUUCCAAUCGAACUCGGAGAUAGCUGGUUCUCCCCGAAAUAGCUUUAGGGCUAGCCUCGGAAAUAAGUCGUGGAGGUAGAGCACUGAUUGGGUGCGGGGCCCGCAAGGGUUACCAAGCUCAGUCAAACUCCGAAUGCCAUAGACUCGAAUUCCGGGAGUCAGACAGUGAGUGCUAAGAUCCAUUGUCAAAAGGGAAACAGCCCAGACCAUCAGCUAAGGUCCCCAAGUGUGUGUUAAGUGGGAAAGGAUGUGGAGUUGCACAGACAACCAGGAUGUUGGCUUAGAAGCAGCCACCAUUGAAAGAGUGCGUAAUAGCUCACUGGUCGAGUGACUCUGCGCCGAAAAUGUAACGGGGCUAAACACGCCACCGAAGCUAUGGCUUGAUGCGUAUGCAUCAGGGGUAGGGGAGCGUUGUAUGUGGGUUGAAGGUGUACCGUAAGGAGCGCUGGACAGCAUACAAGUGAGAAUGCCGGUAUAAGUAACGAAAAGAUCAGUGAGAAUCUGAUCCGCCGAAAGCCCAAGGUUUCCUGAGGAAGGCUCGUCCGCUCAGGGUAAGUCGGGACCUAAGGCGAGGCCGAAAGGCGUAGUCGAAGGACAACAGGUUGAAAUUCCUGUACCACCGUAAACCGUUAUGAGUAAUGGGGUGACGCAGCAGGGUAGUGACGCGGACUGAUGGAUGUCCGUCUAAGCAGUGAGGCUGGUGUGUAGGCAAAUCCGCACAUCGUAAGGCUGGGCUGUGAUGGGGAGCGAAAAUUAUAGUAGCGAAGGUCAUGAUCUCACACUGCCAAGAAAAGCCUCUAACCAGGUGAAGGUGCCCGUACCGCAAACCGACACAGGUAGGCGAGAAGAGUAUUCUAAGGCGCGCGGAAGAACUCUCGUUAAGGAACUCGGCAAAAUGACCCCGUAACUUCGGGAGAAGGGGUGCCCCGGUAGUGUGAAUAGCACGAGGGGGCCGCAGUGAAAAGGCCCAAGCGACUGUUUAGCAAAAACACAGGUCUGUGCGAAGCCGUAAGGCGAAGUAUACGGCUGACGCCUGCCCGGUGCUGGAAGGUUAAGGGGAGUGGUUAGGGGUAACCCGAAGCUAUGAACCGAAGCCCCAGUAAACGGCGGCCGUAACUAUAACGGUCCUAAGGUAGCGAAAUUCCUUGUCAGGUAAAUUCUGACCCGCACGAAUGGCGUAACGACUUGGGCGCUGUCUCAACGAGAGAUCCGGUGAAAUUUUAAUACCUGUGAAGAUGCAGGUUACCCGCGACAAGACGGAAAGACCCCAUGGAGCUUUACUGUAGCUUGAUAUUGGAUUUGGGUACGAUCUGUACAGGAUAGGUGGGAGCCUGAGAAGUAGGAGCGCCAGCUUCUAUGGAGGCAUCGUUGGGAUACCACCCUGAUCGUAUCUAGGUUCUAACCUAGGACCGUUAGCCGGUUCGGGGACAGUGUCAGGUGGACAGUUUGACUGGGGCGGUCGCCUCCUAAAGAGUAACGGAGGCGCCCCAAGGUUCCCUCAGAAUGGUUGGAAAUCAUUCGAAGAGUGCAAAGGCAGAAGGGAGCUUGACUGCGAGACCUACAAGUCGAGCAGGGACGAAAGUCGGGCUUAGUGAUCCGGUGGUACCGCAUGGAAGGGCCAUCGCUCAACGGAUAAAAGCUACCCUGGGGAUAACAGGCUUAUCUCCCCCAAGAGUCCACAUCGACGGGAGGUUUGGCACCUCGAUGUCGGCUCAUCGCAUCCUGGGGCUGAAGUAGGUCCCAAGGGUUGGGCUGUUCGCCCAUUAAAGCGGUACGCGAGCUGGGUUCAGAACGUCGUGAGACAGUUCGGUCCCUAUCUGUCGUGGGCGUAGGAAAUUUGAGAGGAGCUGUCCUUAGUACGAGAGGACCGGGAUGGACGUACCACUGGUGCACCAGUUGUUCCGCCAGGAGCAUGGCUGGGUAGCUACGUACGGACGGGAUAAGCGCUGAAAGCAUCUAAGCGUGAAGCCCCCCUCAAGAUGAGAUUUCCCAGUAUGUAAGACCCCUUGAAGACCACGAGGUAGAUAGGUUGGAGGUGGAAGUGCAGCAAUGCAUGGAGCUGACCAAUACUAAUCGGUC